AACGAACGCUGGCGGCAGGCCUAACACAUGCAAGUCGAACGCCCUAGCAAUAGGGAGUGGCAGACGGGUGAGUAACGCGUGGGAACGUGCCUUUCGGUUCGGAAUAACUCAGGGAAACUUGAGCUAAUACCGGAUACGCCCUUCGGGGGAAAGAUUUAUUGCCGAAAGAUCGGCCCGCGUCCGAUUAGCUAGUUGGUGAGGUAAAGGCCCACCAAGGCGACGAUCGGUAGCCGGUCUGAGAGGAUGAUCAGCCACACUGGGACUGAGACACGGCCCAGACUCCUACGGGAGGCAGCAGUGGGGAAUAUUGGACAAUGGGCGCAAGCCUGAUCCAGCCAUGCCGCGUGAGUGAUGAAGGCCCUAGGGUUGUAAAGCUCUUUCGCCAGGGACGAUAAUGACGGUACCUGGAUAAGAAGCCCCGGCUAACUUCGUGCCAGCCGCCGCCGUAA
rnacentral:rRNA from 1 species